CAGAAAACAAUUUAAUUAAUAGAUGAGGGGAGAGGAGGAGAAAAAAGAACUACAACCAGACAAAGCUCCUAGAAGACUGAAAUGGAUGAUGGUUGCAGCAUGCAAAAAGAAAAUGAUAUCUGUUGACUACAGCAUAUGCUUUCUCACAGAUUACCUUGUGGGAGUAGCUGGACCAAACUCUAUUGGUAUUUCAAGUUUGAAAUCCCUGUUUGACCAGACAAACAUUUCAGAUGAGGUAAUAGAUGGCCUAAUCUAUUUGCACUGUGAGAAUUUCCCUCACAUUUAUCCAAUACCAAGCCAAAUCACUGGAAAAAUUUUGGAUGGGUCCACAAGAGCACAAAGUGCAUACUUUUUGAAGAAAAACAUCUUUCAGAUGUAUGAGAAAUUGAUUGGAGCCUGUCUGGAAAACGGCAGCCACUGGACCUUGUUUUUUUGUGACAUACCCAAGAGGACCAUAGUCUAUAUGAAUUCAUUUGGAGAGUCGGAGGUCAGAAAAAGUGCGGUGUUGAAAAACUGGAGCUCAUUUGCUUCAGCAAGAGGCUGCACUGGAGAGUGGACUUUGUCACAUGUGAGCCACCCACAUCAACAGGAUGGGAACUCAUGUGGAGUGCAUGUCAUAAUGUUUGCCCAAUCUCUCAUUGACGGUAAAACACAAGUGGAGGAGUACAACACUGAAAUCCCAAAGCUCAGGUCCCAACUUUGCCACUACUUAUUUUCCUCAAUAGAUCGAACUAGGAAGUGCAGUCAGUGCUGGUGUGUGAUUGCAGCCAAAGACCGGGUGCAGUGCCAGAAAUGUGGUGCAUACAAGCACAUGCGUUGUUCAAAGUCUGUUUGUGGCAUCUGUAUCUUCUGUGAGAGGCCGUAAAGCCAAACUGCCCGCAAUGAUUCUUGACAGGCCUAAGAAGGCCAAAACUAAAGUAACAGUGUUUAGUGUUCUGAGUGAAGAGGAGGCUGGGGAGCUAGCCCUCGGGUUUGCCGGAAGAUUGGCCUGCGAUGUCACAAGAGACAUGGUCUGUAAAGGCAUCGACCAUUCAAGUGCUGAUAUGACAAAGGUCGCGGGGGGCGGUGGAGCCUAUCCCAGCUGUCAUAGGGCGAGAGGCGGGGUACACCCUGGACAGGUCGCCAGUCUGUCGCAGGGCCAACACACAGGGACAGACAACCAUUCGCACUCACAUUCACACCUAGUGACAAUUUGGAUUAUCCAAUUAACCUAUCCCCACAAGCUGCAUGUCUUUGGACGGUGGGAGGAAGCCGGAGUACCCGGAGGGAACCCACGCAAACACGGGG
ensembl:lncRNA